AGGAUCGUGCCAGGGAAAUAGACAAAUCGAACGGGAUCAGGAACUGUCCGUAACCACCUGCCUGAAGGAACAUAUCCGUAAAUUAGAUGUCCCGGGGAAGGUUUUGUGCAUUCUUUGUCAAGAUGUGAUAAGCUAUGGAGGUCGCGGCGCUUCGAACAUUAAGGAGCACAUCAAAACAAAAAAA